AGAGUUUGAUCCUGGCUCAGAAUCAACGCUGGCGGCGUGCCUAACACAUGCAAGUCGAACGAGAAAGGGUAGCAAUACCUGAGUAAAGUGGCGCACGGGUGAGUAACACGUGACUAACCUACCCUGGAGUGGGGGAUAACUGAGGGAAACCUUAGCUAAUACCGCAUAAUACCUAAGGGUCAAAGGAGCAAUUCGCUUCAGGAGGGGGUCGCGGCCGAUUAGUUAGUUGGCGGGGUAAUGGCCCACCAAGACAGUGAUCGGUAUCCGGCCUGAGAGGGCGCACGGACACACUGGAACUGAAACACGGUCCAGACUCCUACGGGAGGCAGCAGUGGGGAAUUUUGCGCAAUGGGGGAAACCCUGACGCAGCAACGCCGCGUGGAGGAUGAAGUCCUUCGGGACGUAAACUCCUUUCGAUCGGGACGAUUAUGACGGUACCGGAAGAAGAAGCCCCGGCUAACUUCGUGCCAGCAGCCGCGGUAAUACGAGGGGGGCGAGCGUUGUUCGGAAUUAUUGGGCGUAAAGGGUGCGUAGGCGGUUUUGUAAGUCUUAUGUGAAAUCUAUGGGCUCAACUCAUAGACUGCAUGAGAAACUGCAGGGCUUGAGUAUGGGAGAGGUGAGUGGAAUUCCUGGUGUAGCGGUGAAAUGCGUAGAUAUCAGGAGGAACACCUGUGGCGAAAGCGGCUCACUGGACCAUAACUGACGCUGAUGCACGAAAGCUAGGGGAGCAAACAGGAUUAGAUACCCUAGUAGUCC
rnacentral:rRNA from 1 species